AUGUUAAAUAUAUUAAAAGCAUUGUGUGUGUGUGUCCUAACCUGGCCAGACAAAAAGGUAUGUGAAUGGAUCAGUGUUUCACCAAUCAGGGCCUUGAUGGGUUUGGCAACAGUAACAAGUGGUGAUAUGCAAUGCAUUUUUGGGGAGGGGACCAUCAGGUGUUUCAGAGAACCCCCCUCAACGUCUGUUUCAGAGGGACCCCUCAAUGUCUGUUUCAGAGGACCCCCCUCAACAUCUGUUUCAGAGGACCCCUUACUGCACAGCAACAUGGAGGAUGAGUCUGGGUCAAAGUGCCCAAAGCAUGACACCGUUGAAACCAAAAUUGGAAUAGAGACGUGUGUCUUUGCCGAGGACCAUUCUCACCUCUUAAGGUGGCAGGGACUGAAGUGCAAACGUGAGUAUCAAUACCUUUGCUUCAGUAAUGAUUACAAUAGGUGGCUAUCAACACAAAAUCGGCAUCAUUUGCUAAAGUUGCAAUAUACCUAAACACUCAACCUUAAUCCAUCCUUCAUGUGUUCAUUUCGAAAACUACCUAUUUUCCUGACUAAAAUAAUGAUGAUUACGAGAGGGGGGGAUGAUAACUAUUACAAAUGUACUUUUCAUUUUAGUCUACGAAAAUGACUAGAGAAUUCCACCUGAGGCUAAUGACAUGCGGCGCGCGCUCGGCAACACGGAAGAAUGAAUAAUGGCACACUUGGGAAGAUGGGGCUUCUGAUGUGAUCAAAGCAAAAACAGCCUACAUGAAAGUAAGAGAGGGAGUAAACAGUAUUGUUUCUACACUGGAAAAAACAUAAACUCAACAUGUAAAGUGUUGGUUUCAUGUUUAAUGUGCUGAAAUAAUAGACCCCAGAAAUGUUCCAUACUCACAAAAAAAGCGUAUUUCUCUCGUUUUGUCCACAUUUGUUUGCAUCCCCGUUAGUGAGCAUUUGUCCUUUGCCAAGAUAAGAUGUCAAUUCUCCAAUAAAAGGAUUGUAUGAAAUAUUCUGCAUGCUUAGGAUUGGAGAAAAGUGGGACAUUUGUUUGCGGAAUUGAUAUCUUUCAGUUGCACGGUCUGAUUGAACUGAUCUGCCUGGCUAUCCUCCCACACAGCUCCCACUUCACUCCUAACUCUUUUCAACUGACGCGAAGCAAGGCACCAGGACACAUGACUUGUAACUAAUCUCAACGAGAAACAAUGUUUACUCCCUCUCUUACUUUCAUGCAGGCUGUUUUUGCUUUGUACGCCGUUAUUCAUUCAUCUGUGUUGCUGCUCUCGUGCGCGCAUGUACACAUGAUAAAACUCAGAGGAUAUUUAGCACUAAAAUAUUCAUUAUUUAAUGGGGGGAAAAAUGCAUUGACUUGUGACUAAAAUUAGACAAGUUGUCCAGGGUUGUAUUCGACUGAUAAUAACAACAACAACAAAAAAAUUACACAUUGUGCACGGUUUCCGUGGACUGAUAACUAAAACUAAGGAAGGAUGAAAUGACCAAUGAGACUAAGACUAAAAGGUAUUUUAAAACUAAAGAUAAAAUACCUGGCAAAAUAUUAAAACUGAUCCAUCCCUCAACCUAUCCAGCAUUUAUUUUCAUCUGUUCAUUUACCAAUCCUCCAUGGUUCUCAUCUAAUAUGAACUGUGUUCCAGAGUAUGUUAGUAUAACUUCUAAUUAUAGAGGUUGUACAGCGAGGGAUCUCACAAUAAAAGGGGGGGAGGUGAUUGUACACCCCUCAAACUCAACUCUUGACCUCAACGCCAGUUCCACUCCGUUUUUGAAUUAUUUCCCUUCAAUCAGGGACUGCUUUAGACGUGACCAGUGCAAUUUAAUUAUCAGGUAGAACAGUAAUCCAGCUGGCUCUGGAUGUCGUGGGCUAAGAGUUGAAUACUGCUCUACACACUAUUGUGUGUGUAUAUUUUUAAUGUAUUGUAUACCUUGUGCUGGGGACAAAAGGCCACUUUAAAAUGCCAUGGCGGCAUAUGAAAAGAUGCGUCACCAUAUCAGAAGGUCCAGCAGGUCAGGGGUCAUUUGUGGGGUAAUUUGGUCAUUGUUCGUAUUGAACGGUAGAGCCUUGCCUAUAGAGCAGAGGUGUCCAACUCAUUCCAUAGAGGGCCUAGUGUCUGCUGGGUUUUCCUUCCAAUUUAAGACCUAGACAACCAGGUUAGUAGACUUUCUUACUAAUUUUAGUGCCCUUCAUUCAUCAAUCAAGUACACAGGAGGAGUGUGAACCCUGCAAACACUCAGACCUCCAUGGAACAAGUUUGACAACACCUAUCGAGUAUGCUCCCAUGAAAUGGGAUGUCAGCCUACAACCCUACACGGUGAUGCCCACAUAUUACAAUUCCAAAAGUUUACAUAAAUAUUAGCGUCCAUAGCUAUUAUUGCCUGACUUCACAGUCCAAAACGAAUGCUUGAUGCGCACAAUAGGCUGAAUAGUGAAGUGAUUUCCCACAGUUAAAGAUCCGCAAUAAGAGCUACGCCGAUAAUAUUUAUCAACUCAUCAGAAUUGUAAUCUGUUGGUGUCACUGAGUAGGUGGAUACCCCCAUAUCAUGGGUGCACACUUCAUAGGUAAGGCUGUACAUUACAAUAUGAAUGUCCAAAUACACUCAAUAAACUGCCUGGGAAGGUGAUUCUUCUCAAAAGUCCUGCAAUCAGAGAGAGCCACACUGCUCAUCCCUGCGACACACUGCAUCCUUCUCCCACGAACUGCUGCACCCGCACUCUGCUUGUUGCUGUCAACAGAUUUCCAUGUAUGUCCUCAUAACCCAUGUUUUAAACAUGCCAUUCAUGUAUGAUGUGAUGAGUUCUCAUAACCCAUGUUUUAAACAUGCCAUUCAUGUAUGAUGUGAUGAGUUCUCAUAACCCAUGUUUUAAACAUGACAUUCAUGUGUGAUGUAAUGAGUAAUGAGUCCUCAUAACCCAUGUUUUAAACAUGCCAUUCAUGUAUGAUGUAAUGAGUAAUGAGUCCUCGUAACCCAUGUUUUAGACAUGUUUGUGUGUAUAACCUCAAAUCUGUCUUCACCAACCUUAUUUCUUGAUAUUCAAUAUUGGAUUUUUGUCACGUUUUGGAACACACACUGAACAAAAAUAUAAUGCAACAUGCAACAAUUUAAAAGAUUUUGCUGAGUUACAGUUCAUGUAAGGAAAUGAGUCAAUUUAAAUAAAUCAAUUAGUCCCUAAUCUAUGGAUUUCACAUCACUUGGAAUACACAAAUGCAUCUGUUAGUCAUAGAUAUCUUAAAAAUAAAGUAGGGUCGUGGAUCGGAACCAGUCAGUAUUUGGUGUGACCACCAUUUGCCUCAUGCAGCGCGACACAUCUCCUUCGCAUAGAGUUGAUCAGGCUGUUGAUUGUAGCCUUUGGAAUGUUGUCCCACUGCUAUUCAAUGGCUGUGAGAAGUCACUGUAUCACGCUGUCGUAUGCGUCCAUCUGUGGCAUUGUGUUGUGUGACAAAACUGCACAUUUUAGGGUGGUCCUGUAUUGUCCCCAGCACAAGGUGCACCUGUGUAAUGAUCAUGCUGUUUAAUCAGCUUGCUGAUAUGCCAAACCUGUCAGCUGGAUGGAUUAUCUUGGAAAAGGAGAAGUAAACAAAUGUGUACAAAACAUUUGAGAUAAUUUUUUGUUUUAUGUAACAUUUCUGGGAUACAUUUUUUUGUAUGGGUGGGGGGGGUGUAGCAACUCAAUAUUAGGAAGGUGACAAUGUUUUGUGCACUCAGUAUGUAUGUAUUGAUUUAAGACUUCUACCCAGACUACCUGUCUUCCUUUCUGCACAAACAAGGGCAUUCCGUUUCUGGGAAAAUAUACAAAAAGGACAUGGCUGUAAUUAAUAACGGACUAACUUUUUAAUUGUGACAUUUUAGCAGCUGUGCCCAUAUUGCAGGUGGGGAAUAAGUAAAUCGUCCAUUAGUGUUCUUGAGCCUGUUGAGGGUUGGAGACUACUGAUCUCUCUUUAAUCAAAACCUGAUGUCGCUCUAAGUUUUGCCCCAUGAAAGGCAGGGUGUAUAUGUAUGGCUGAUCAUUGACAUUUGGGUGCGCUAAGAAACAUGAAGUAACUUGGAACAUUAGGCUUUCUUCCUGUCGAUCCGUUAAACAGGAAGUUCACUUUAUAUAAAUUUCAAUUUUCGAUUUAAAUGGCAUGUUUUAGAAAUCACCAGACACUUUUUUUUGCACCUCCCUUUAUCCGCAACUUCCAAACUUUUCUAUUCCAUUAUGUGCGACCCAUGCGGUUUCCCCCAUCCAGUUGUUCUGCUAUCGCUGGAGUCGCACAACAUGGAAACUAAUAAUGUGAAUGUAAUACAAUUUCAUGUGUACAACAUUUUUAAAGAGCUGCAUCACGACUGAGAGCAUUGCUUUAUGGGUGUUUUUGAAGCCUUUGUUCAUGUUUUGCUGUGCCUCUACAACUGCAGAAAGAGGAAGUGUAUCGAUGACGGGAUACGUUUCUCCAAAACAAGUGAGAUCGCAAAAAUUGUGGCUGGGCAGUUCGAUGACAUACCAUUUACAUCUCAAAUAGAGAUUUGACACUUUUGUUUGUGUUGUCUGGAUGUAACUGGACGUAGGGCUUUAAAUGGGCUCACGCAGCAUCUCCGAAGAUACCAUGCAGAGGUCAACGCAUACAAUGUAUACUUAUCCUUGGGACGUACCUACAGUGAACCUAAUCUGAACCCUUACCCUACCUAACCUUACCUACCCCUAAUCUUNNNNNNNNNNNUUACUGUACCAGUACUGGUAUUUACUGUACUGUUACUGUACCAGUAUUGGUAUUUACUGUACCGGUACUGGUAUUUACGGUACAGGUACUGGUAUUUACUGUACCAGUAUUGGUAUUUACUGUUACUGUACCAGUACUGGUAUUUACUGUACUGUUACUGUACCAGUACUGGUAUUUACUGUACCAAUACUGGUAUUUACUGUACUGUUACUGUACCAACACUGGUAUUUACUGUACUGUUACUGUACCAGUACUGGUAUUUACUGUACCAAUACUGGUAUUUACUGUUACUGUACCAGUACUGGUAUUUACUGUACUGUUAC
rnacentral:lncRNA from 13 species